CUGGGGUAUCAUUUAUAAACGUGGCGUACACACAGAAUGGGCCUGAAAAUGUGCGUACGGCACUUCACAAAAGGUUUUGAUUUAUAAAAAACAAACUUGACGGGAAAAUAACCUUCUUCUUAAUGAUU